rnacentral:sRNA from 1 species
CCUGGCAACUGGGACAUCGUCAGGUGCUGCAGGUCUCAGCCGAAGGGCGUUAGAAACUGCGCUCGCAUCGAGCAGUUUCCAGCCUCCUGGGUAAGGGAGCAGUAUCCUCCCUUGCUUGGGACUCUGGAAGCAUCUCAUUCCGGUGAAAGUAAGGGACAGCUUAGGACCAGAAGCCUUUCGCGGAGAAAAGGCUGACAUGCCCGUUCUAUAUGACAGGUUACUGAAGCUAAAGGAGAUGUUUAACUCCAAGUUUGGAUCUAUUCCCAAGUUUUAUGUUCGAGCACCAGGAAGAGUCAACAUAAUAGGAGAGCAUAUAGAUUAUUGUGGAUAUUCUGUUCUUCCUAUGGCUGUAGAACAAGAUGUGCUAAUAGCUGUAGAACCUGUGAAAACGUACACUCUCCAACUGGCCAAUACAAAUCCCUUGUAUCCGAAUUUAUCAAUUUCCUUUAGGUUGCUUAUUUGAACUCUUUC